UCCCGACACCCGGAGGCUGCUUUUCCGGAUGCAUGGGCGUGCACGGGCGGCAGACCUGGCAACCUGGGCCGCUGGCGGGCACACCGUCCUCGGCCGUGCGGGAUCCGGGGCAGGCAAGUGAGGGACCCAGGGGCGGGACCAGCUGGCUCUUCCAGCAGCCACGGGGACUCAGGCUUUGGCUCCUAGUCCCUGGGGAGAUGGGGGUUGCUCCCCCCACCGCUCCUGCGUCCGUCCGUGGGCACGGAGGCCUAGGCCGGGCAGCGGGGGGCACAUGCGCCAGCCCCUCUCCUCGGCUCUGCUACCCAGACAGCUGGGGGCCUGAAAGACAGAGGAGCCGCUGUCACCCGCCUGCACGAGGGGGACCCCGAGGCCCGGCUCCUCCCUCAUGCGUCGGCCUCCCUCCCGCCGCCCGGGGACUCACUCCUGUGACGAAGAGGCCUAGGAAGACGCCGGAAGGAAAUGGCACAACUCCCGGGAGAACGAGCCCCCUAAAGCCCGCCGAUGUGACACACGCUGCUAGGCCCUCUCCCUCUCAAGAAAACCAAGAGUGACCACGUUUCCAGGGCCCGAAGCCUUCAGUAAGGACGGUAGGAAACGCUGGAGGCUGCCAGCUGGGACCCAGGGGUCGGGAACAGCUGACCUGCGGGGUGUGGACAGGCGCCCCGGGAAGCUGGUCGGCACCGGAGGCUCGGCGGACGCGCCGGGGGAGGCCGGGGGGGCGGGUGCGUGGGGGAAGGAGGCCUGUGAACACGGGGCUCGGCCUCCCGCCUGCCCUUCCUGCUCUCAGCCCCUGCGCGCCGGCCGGGCUCCAGGGGGAGAAAAUCAGCCGACCGACUCCCAGAACCGCAGGCCGCGGGGAUCCGAGCACCGGCAUCAGGACAGAGUCAAAGUCGGAGCGGCCUCGACGCUCGGCUUGUCCGACUUCAGGUGUCUGGGACGGAGACGAUUCUCCAGGACCGCAAAGAGGGGAAAGGCCGUGCAGCGUGAGGAAGGGCGCGGCUGCGGCAAACGCGGAGGCUCCGACCCCGAACUCUACCGGCCCGACAGAAUGAGCACGUCAGACACACGUGCCCCCCGAGUGUGCACCCGCGUGCCCGUCGUCAGGGGGCUCCUGGGCUCCGGAGCGGAAGGGAAGGAGGCGGCCGCGGGUGCAGGAGGCGCCCGGUGGGGGCGGCCGGCACCGGGGUCUCCCCCAGGAGGCGGGGUGGCGCUAGACGCCUUGCUCAGGGAGGCGAGGACGGAAGGACCACGGUUACCAUGAGCCUCGGGUCCGAGUGCCCCACGCACUGAGGGCGGGGCCUCCGGGGCGGGCUCCCAGACUGCCGGGGCCACAGGGGUCCUCAAGCUGCGUGUACAACUUUGACAUAAACCGCAAACUCACAGUCAUCCGCCGCCCAGGGUGUGGGGCCGAAGGAGCAGCACGGUGGCCCGCAGGUGGCAGGAGCUCGACAUCCAACGGGGGCGCCCUCCGCAUCACUGCCCGCAGGAGCCUGUCCCGGGGGGUCUGAGACUUAGCUUUAUGAAAGCAGAGCCUGACAAGUGACACAAGAUGACACAGGACAGCACCCCGGGAGCCCUGGGAAACAAAGGAUUUUUAAGCAAGACAAAAAAUGAAAGACACGACACACUCAGGAAGGAGCCGCCAGCACGGGGGCCGGACCAGUAGCAGACUGUCCCCAGGAGCAGUCUGUGCCCCGUCGCCUGGCACAGCCUUCACUGUGACCCCGCCUCCCAGGUCGGUGACAGCCUUCCCUUCCGCGCACCCACACCCACGAACACGCGUGGCCGACGCCCAGCACGGCAUCACUGGGUGUAGGUCCUGACUAGGACUUAUUGGCCAAAACGGAAGAUCCCUGGUUGGAGAAGCAAACCAGAACUCAGCACAGCCGCGAGGCGGGAGGUGAGCAGGGCAGACCCGGGGCCCGAGCGCCCUCCCGGGUCCUUCUUCACCAGGGAAGCGGGGAGCGUAAGCACGCGUGUACCCGCCGUGUCCGUGAGAGCAGCAGCUCGCUGUGGGAGCGCCGGGGGCCAGAGACCCAGGCAAAGAGGGAGCCCCUCACACGGGUGACGGGGGCCGGCGGUGUGCUCAGCGCGCAGGAACCCAGCACGCGCAGGGCACGCGUCACCAGUUCAUGUUAUCAUUGGUCUCCAAAACACGGUUUCUAAAGGCCUCUCAACACCCACUGUCGGGCGCGCCUAACGACCGGCAGCCUCCAUCACUGCCCUCCCGCCUUACCAAUAACGCCCCGGCGGACAUCUGCACACCCGUCUCUGCCCACUCUCCUCAUUCCCUUGGACAGAUUCGCAGAAACACUCCUGACACGAUCCCACCUGCAGGAGGGGAAGUACCAGCCUCAUGGCGGCGAGUGCCAAGCGUUCAGAAGCUUUACCAAUUUGGCGAAGGAGUAAAUCUCGGUCUCUGUACUUUCCUCUUUCGUCACCAGGAAGUGAGACCGUAUUUUAUGUAUUUUUACGGCCAACCGCCCUUCUCUACUGUGAUCUGUCCGUCGCCUUUGCUGGCUCCCCCGGCCCCAGGGCUGCCUGGGCUCAGGGAGCGAUCCUCUGGGGGGCACGGCUCUGGAGAGGACCCCUGUGUACCCCAAUGCCCGCCAGGGCCCCUCUGUCGCCCUGCUGCUGAGUCGCCGUAUUGUCGGUCCCCAGUAAUGACGUCGCGUGCUCGCUGCGGAAGAAGGCAAGAACCCGCUGGUAUUCUGGUGGAUUUGCUCAGGGCACUUGCUUCCCACGCCCUAACAACCUGCAGCCAACGCGUCAAUGUGUCCUUAGCACGCACGGUUCGUGAGGUCCCUUCUUAACGCUAAACAGCGUAUGAUGAAGUAUUUUUUAAAGUCAGGCCGUUUCUGUUUCCUUAUGUUCAGUUAUCGGUGUCUUUAACACAAAACUGCUCAGGGGGAAGCAUCAAAGGCAGCAGAAAGUGUAAGGCCUGCCUAGCUCUGUCCCCGUGUCCAUUCUAUGUCCCCAGCUCGAUGUCCCCAACUCUGUGUCCUCAGCUCCACACAGUGUCCUCACCUCCGUCUCGUGUCCUCAGCUGUGUCCUCUGUCCUCUGCUCCAACAGAGCCGGCAGCUGUGAGCUGAUUGCGCCCGCUCGUUACGCAGCCUGUAUCGCUAAUGGCCUGUGACAAAGGCACGCGGCUUCCAGGCCUCACCCCCGAGAGCCAAUUAAACACACACACUCCCUUCCUGUUUGCAGCGCAUUACAAUGAAAUUAAACUGAGUUUCAAAAUCA